UAAGUGAAAUAUAUCAUCGGAUAGCGGUACGAGGACGACCUCGUUUGCCUUUCUUUUUAUCCAAAGCUUGCUUGGGUGUUGUAAAUUGUAAUAGCCUGAGGUAGCAGUAGUAGUAGUAGAGAAUCUAUCACCAAUGUAAUAAAAAUUUUUAUAUUACUAUAUGAUAGAGAAAAAAAAAAAGAUAAGUAAAUUUUCUGAAAUAUGGAAGAUUAUAGAACACCUGAUAAAUUCUUAAUUUCCCAAUUGCAGUGGUGUAGAUUGUAGUUUUUUAAAAGAAAUUAUUUAUUUUUUGAGGCCUUGUUUCUUUAUGGGGAACAUGGUAGGAUGAACUAUUAAGCUUUUAUUUGGUAAUUUCUCCUCUUUUGAUGUCAUUCCUUUUAGAAUUUUUGUCUUAUAAUUUAGAUAAUUUAUUUUCUAAAAGAAAAAAGCCGAGGUAGUGGCGGAGGCAGAAGAGGUGAUGGUGUGGAUGACGGCAGUGGGUCGUGGCGUCUCGAACGCCGUGAGGAGAGGCAAAAACGUUCAUUAGAAUGGCCG
rnacentral:misc_RNA from 1 species